AAGAUCAUUUAAGAUAAACAAUUAGAUGAAAGAAAUAGAAGCUUCAGAGACUGUGAGCGGAAGCUUGAUCGAGCCAUGCCGCGUGAAUGAAGCAAGGCCUUUGGGUUGUAAAGCUCUUUCAGUGAGGAAGAUAAUGACGGUACUCGCAGAAGAAGUCCUGGCUAAUUCCGUGCGAGCAGCUGCGGUAAUACGGAGAGGGCUAGCGUUAUUCGCAAUUAUUGCGCGUAAAGAGCACG
rnacentral:ncRNA from 1 species